GGGCUCGCUUCGGCAGCAUAUAUACCAAAAUUGGAUCAAUACAGAGAAGAUUGGUGUGGCCCCUGUGCAAAGUUGACACACAAAUUCAUAAAAUCCGAAUACUAACAGUAUCUAAUUGUU
rfam:Canis lupus familiaris chromosome 10, whole genome shotgun sequence.